rnacentral:rRNA from 1 species
AACGAACGCUGGCGGCGUGCCUAACACAUGCAAGUCGUGCGGGAAAGUUCCUUCGGGAGCGAGUAAAGCGGCGCACGGGUGAGUAACACGUAGGUAACCUGCCCCCCAGUCUGGAACAACUAGAGGAAACUCUAGCUAAUGCCGGAUGAGACCACGAUCCCUUCGGGGGUUGCGGCCAAAGAUGGCCUCUACUUGUAAGCUAUCGCUGAGGGAUGGGCCUGCGGGCCAUUAGCUUGUUGGUGAGGUAACGGCUCACCAAGGCUGUGAUGGCUAGCUGGUCUGAGAGGAUGACCAGCCACACUGGGACUGAGACACGGCCCAGACUCCUACGGGAGGCAGCAGUGGGGAAUAUUGCGCAAUGGGCGAAAGCCUGACGCAGCGACGCCGCGUGGGUGAUGAAGGCCUGGUC